rnacentral:rRNA from 1 species
AGGUCCAGCCUGCCCAGUGACUCUGUUCAACGGCCGCGGUAUCCUAACCGUGCGAAGGUAGCGUAAUCACUUGUCUUUUAAAUGGGGACUUGUAUGAAUGGCACCACGAGGGUUAUACUGUCUCCUUUUUCUAAUCAGUGAAACUAAUCUCCCCGUGAAGAAGCGAGAAUAAAUAUAUAAGACGAGAAGACCCUAUGGAGCUUUAAACUUAAUAACAAAUGCUAACCUUAUUCUAACUUCCAGAACCCUAACCUUUAUCCUAGCAUUAUAACUAUUAGUUUUAGGUUGGGGUGACCGCGGAGUAAAAACUAACCUCCACAUUGAAAAGGACCUACCUUUGAGCCAAGAGCUACAGCCCUAAGCACCAAUAAAUCGACAUUAAUUGACCCAAUAUUUUGAUCAACGAACCAAGUUACCCUAGGGAUAACAGCGCAAUCCACUUCAAGAGCCCCUAUCGACAAGUGGGUUUACGACCUCGAUGUUGGAUCAGGGUAUCCCAGUGGUGCAGCCGCUACUAAAGGUUCGUUUGUUCAACGAUUAAAACCCU